CGCGGUCGCGCGACCAUUUGCGACUGGCGACCAAACUGCGAGCGACGUUCACACCGGCAAGGAUUCAUGCGAGCGACCGGAAGUCGCAAACCCGGAGAGUCACGUACAGAUCUCGUUAUCAACGAGAACUUGGGCGACCGGCGACGAUCAGCUGAUCAGAUACGGAGCCCGCUGAGCGCGAUGCGUUUGUUUUUGACGGCUGUGUUUGCGUAGCGUUCUCCCGGCAGCAUCAUAGACUUCGAGUCGAGUGAUGAAGAAGAGGUUGUGGCGGUGCUGAUGUGCUCAGCCAACGUGUCAGCACAAAAGCCUUCAAAGCAAGCAAGGCGAUGGUGGGUGAGACCGUCCCUUCGCUCGCGAGAAGUGGCCGUCCACACAGGGCGUCUGCUCUUGCGCUCGCACGACGAGGAGAAUUUCCGAGAUUAGCUUCAUGCGGAUGCCGCCACGAACGUUCGAUGCUGUGCUCGAACUGCUGCGCCCCGCAAUAUCCAAGCAGGACACAAACCACCGGCUUACAAUUUCGGCGCACGACUGCCUGGCCAUGACCAUUAGGUAUGCCAAGGAAGUGCGAGAUAAAUUGGCGCACUACUUCGUCACAGACGGUCAGGUGCCUUGGCAGGACAAAGUGGUGAACAGCACUUGAGGCGUACAAGGUGAAGGUGUCGACACGAGUCUCCUCAGCCGUAUCAGGGGUACGUUCCGGUUCCGCUGCAUGUCUUGGCCGAGGCGGUGAUCUGCAGUGAUUAAAAUUUCUUUCUAUGUAUUUGAUGAUGCCGCUAGUACAUGAAAAGUUUUAGGCAUUCUUUGGGAGUUAAAAUGCCAUUAUGAUUUCGCUCAACACGAAGUUUAUUUUACACUUGCGUUACCUCUUGAUUGAGCACUGCUGUAUGGAAGGUGUGCAUACAGAAGUUUAUUGUGCCUAUUAUGUUAAUAAAAUGCUAUGUAGGCUGCACAUCUAAAUGAGAACAAGAGAUAUUGU